UGCAGGGCCGAGCACGCGUACCGCGAGAGCCCCAGGCCCAGGGGUAGCGACCCAGCCUUAGGCCGUAGCGAGCUACCGGGAGGGAGUCUGAGGCGGCGAGGACACAAAGCACUGGGAACAGGACUACCACUCUGACAGAGGCGGGGCUGGGGCUGCGCCCAGGAGCUGCGUGGAGCUCUCGUACUGGCAUGAGAAACAGGCGGGGUUGAGAUAGGGCCCGCCUCUCCUUCCUCCAGCCUGAGCGCCCAGGUUCUGUCUCGCCGUCUGAAAGAGCAUUUCGCGGGCUUUCCAACUGCCCUAGGUUCCACUCCCCCCUCCCGCYUGCGGUGACUGCGCGGUUUUUGGCCCGCCCGCUAACCUCUGCGCAGGCGCGCCGGGCAGGGGUGGGGCGCGCGGCGGCGACGUUACGGAGCGGGUGAGGCGAGCCAAUCAGAGGAUUCAUUUCCGGGUGGCGCGGGCGCCAUUUUGUGAGAAGGGCUAUAAAUGGGCGCUGGGUUCGGCCGCCGAUCCAGUUGCUGCUCAGGUGCGCCCAGUUGCGGAGCUAGCACGCCCGCCAGCCCGCCCCUCUUCCCGGCCUCUCCACGCGGAAAGCAGCUGCUAGGGCGCGGCGUCGCCCCCGGACCUGAGAAGACCGCCGCCUGCCUGCAGCGCGCGGGCCCGCCCAGGCCGUUAGAGUCUCGGCGCCAGUUCGCGGGGCCCCGGGCCGCCUCGGAGCCAUGAGCUACGGCCGCCCGCCUCCCGAUGUGGAGGGCAUGACCUCCCUCAAGGUGGACAACCUGACCUACCGCACCUCGCCCGACACGCUGAGGCGCGUCUUCGAGAAGUACGGGCGCGUGGGCGACGUGUACAUCCCGCGGGACCGCUACACCAAGGAGUCCCGCGGCUUCGCCUUCGUGCGCUUCCACGACAAGCGCGACGCCGAGGACGCCAUGGACGCCAUGGACGGCGCCGUGCUGGACGGGCGCGAGCUGCGGGUGCAGAUGGCGCGCUACGGCCGCCCGCCCGACUCGCACCACAGCCGCCGCGGCCCGCCGCCCCGCAGGUACGGGGGCGGCGGCUACGGCCGGCGGAGCCGCAGCCCUCGCCGCCGCCGCCGAUCGCGCUCCCGGAGUCGCAGCAGGUCCCGCUCCCGCAGCCGCUCGCGCUACAGCCGCUCCAAGUCGCGCUCCCGCACGCGCUCCCGCAGCCGCUCCACCUCCAAGUCCCGCUCGGCGCGCAGGUCCAAGUCCAAGUCGUCGUCGGUGUCCCGCUCCCGGUCCCGCUCGCGCUCCCGGUCCCGCUCCCGAAGCCCGCCGCCAGUGUCCAAGAGGGAGUCCAAGUCCCGCUCGCGGUCCAAGAGCCCGCCCAAGUCUCCGGAGGAGGAGGGCGCCGUGUCCUCGUGAGCACAUGCUGCGGUCUCCUGUUUGAUAAAAGAAUAUUGGCCAGUAUUGCAGAUUUUAACUGAUUUGGCUGAUCCUCCAGGGACCAGUUUCUGUGGGCGUGUAUUGGAGCAGGUUUGUCUUUAAACGUUAAAGAUGCACUAUCCUCUUAGAGACAAACGAUCAGUUCAACUAUUGUUGUGCUGAUGGGACUUCGUAUUCUAAUAGAUGUGGCAAACGAAUUGCAAUUAAGAAGCAAUGAACUUUUUGGAACCCCAAAAGAAAGUUUAUGCAGAUGUAUCCGAAAGCAGCAUAAAGGAGGACUUGGGGGAAAAAGGACUACAUAUUCAGUCCAUCGGUGCAUCGAAGAGUCCUUGGAACAAGCAACUGGCUGUUGAAAAGGUUAUUUUGUAACAUUUGUCUAACUUUUUACUUGUUUUAAUCUUUGCCUCAGGUGGCAAACUUCAUUUUAUGUGCCAUUUUGUUGCUGUUAUUCAAAUUUCUUGUAAUUUAGUGAGGUGAACGACUUCAGAUUUCAUUAUUGGAUUGGAUAUUUGAGGUAAAAUUUCAUUUUGUUUAUAUAGUGCUGACUUUUUUUGUUUGAAAUUAAACAGAUUGGUAACCUAAUUUGUGGCCUCCUGACUUUUAAGGAAACGUGUGCAGCCAUUACACACAGCCUAAAGCUGUCAAGAGAUUGACUCAACAUUGCCUUCAUUCCUUAAAAUUAAAAACCUACAAAAGUUGGUGUAAAUUUGUUUAUAUGUUAUUUACCUUCAGACCUAAAUGGUAAUCUGAAUCCAAAUUUGUAUAAAGACUUCAGGUGAAAAGACUUGAUUUUUUUUUUUAAAGGAUUGUUUACCAAACACAAUUCUAAUCUCUUCUCUUAUGUAUUUUUGUGCACUAGGCGCAGUUGUGUAGCAGUUGAGUAAUGCUGGUUAGCUGUUAAGGUGGCGUGUUGCAGUGCAGAGUGCUUGGCUGUUUCCUGUUUUCUCCUGAUUGCUCCUGUGUAAAGAUGCCUUGUCGUGCAGAAACAAAUGGCUGUCCAGUUUAUUAAAAUGCCUGACAACUGCACUUCCAGUCACCCGGGCCUUGCAUAUAAAUAACGGAGCAUACAGUGAGCACAUCUAGCUGAUGAUAAAUACACCUUUAUUCCCCUGCCCCCCGCCCCAUGGUAAAUCUGAUCAUCCUCAUGUAUGAACUUAAAAUAUGGAAUAUGUUAAGGAAGCAAAUGGUUUGUAACUUUGUAAGUACUUAAAAACAUGGUGUAUCGUUUUGCUUAUGAAUAUUCUGUACUAUAACCAUUGUUUCUGUAGUUUGAUUAAAAUGUUUUCUUGGUGUUA